GCAUGUCUAAAAGAGAAGAUCAAAAUCAAUGUGGAAAAAAAACUCUCAUCAAGGAAAAAGGGGAGGAAAAGAAGAGGCAUACAUAUGGACAAGACACCUAAAAAGGAAGCAAAUAGACCUCGAACAACUUCACUCAAGGAAAAGUUAUAUUUACAAACCUAUUCAGCGAGAAGGUAAGUUGGGUCCAAAGGCUUGACAGUGUCUGGAAAAUCUGUUCUUUGUCCGGCAAGAGAAUAGUAGGCAAGUAUAUGGGCUGGAUGCUCCGAGACUACAGUUUCUGCAUUAUUUCCAUCGUUGGCAAUAACUCGUCUUGCAGGAAUCAAUUCAAUAUUCCAGAAUGGGCGAGCCAUCGCUAAGAGAUCACGACCAGCUGAAGAUGCCCUGUAUCCUUGUACCCAUAGAUACCUUAACGAUUUUAGCUGCAAGGUAGCCAAGGCUAAUGCACGUUCACUGAAACAGCAGCCUCUCACUUCUAGCUUUUGCAGGCUCGGACAUCCUUUAGAGAACUCCAGAAGGCCAUGAUCGGAUUCCCCAACGUAUCCCAGAAGCAUCCAUCUCACGUUUGGGCUGUAUUGCCCGACAUAACUGAGACCUACAUCAGUAAGGCCCCCAGGCCGGACAUAGAGGGCAAAUCUUCUAAGAUUAUGGCAACCUCUUAGUAAAG
rnacentral:misc_RNA from 1 species